GAUGAACGCUGGCGGCGUGCCUAAUACAUGCAAGUCGAGCGAACAGACGAGGAGCUUGCUCCUCUGACGUUAGCGGCGGACGGGUGAGUAGCACGUGGAUAACCUACCUAUAAGACUGGGAUAACUUCGGGAAACCGGAGCUAAUACCGGAUAAUAUCUUGAACCGCAUGGUUCAAUAGUGAAAGACGGUUUUGCUGUCACUUAUAGAUGGAUCCGCGCCGCAUUAGCUAGUUGGUAAGGUAACGGCUUACCAAGGCUACGAUGCGUAGCCGACCUGAGAGAGGGAUAGGCCACACUGGAACUGGGACACGGUCCAGACUCCUGCGGGAGGGCGCAGUAGGGAAUGUGACGCAAUGGGCGAAAGCAUGACGGAGCAAGGCCGCGUGAGAGAUGAAGAUCUUCGGAUCGUAAAACUCUGUUAUUAGGGAAGAACAAAUGUGUAAGUAACUAUGCACGUCGUGACGGUACCUAAUCAGAAAGCCACGGCUAACUACGUG
rnacentral:rRNA from 1 species